CAACAUGAUUAGAUACCCUUGUAGUUGAAGCAGAAAAUGAUGAAUGUCAUAGAUUAGAUAUAUAAGUUUAUUCUAUAAAUGAAAGUGUAAGCAUUCCCCCUCAUGAGUAAUUUGUCAACCUUGGAAUUGAAAUCAUUAGACCGUUUUUGAAACCAGUAGUGAAGUAUGUUGUUUAAUUUGAUAGUCCGCAAAAAACCUUACCACAAUUAGAAUAUUUAUAUUUUUUUUUUAUUGUUUUCUUCUUAAUUUUCUUCUAAUAACGUGUUCAGCAUGUAAAAAGAAGAAAGUUAAUAAAGAGACAAUAAUAUAUAUUUACAAGCGUUGCACGGCUGUCUUCAGUUAAUGUCGCGAGACUUUGGUUAGUUCCAUUAAAUUAAGAU
rnacentral:rRNA from 1 species